ACUCUAGAGGCUUUUGAUGAUGAA
rnacentral:siRNA from 1 species